rnacentral:rRNA from 1 species
GUGGGGAAUAUUGCACAAUGGGCGAAAGCCUGAUGCAGCGACGCCGCGUGAGCGAUGAAGUAUUUCGGUACGUAAAGCUCUAUCAGCAGGGAAGAUAAUGACGGUACCUGACUAAGAAGCACCGGCUAAAUACGUGCCAGCAGCCGCGGUAAUACGUAUGGUGCAAGCGUUAUCCGGAUUUACUGGGUGUAAAGGGAGCGUAGGCGGCGUGGUAAGUCAGAAGUGAAAGCCCGGGGCUCAACUCCGGGACUGCUUUUGAAACUAUCAUGCUAGAGUGUCGGAGAGGUAAGUGGAAUUCCUAGUGUAGCGGUGAAAUGCGUAGAUAUUAGGAGGAACACCAGUGGCGAAGGCGGCUUACUGGACGAUAACUGACGCUGAGGCUCGAAAGCGUGGGGAGCAAACAGGAUUAGAAACCCGGGUAGUCC